UUUUAUUGUUAAUGUUAUUUAGUUUUGACGUGAUAUUAAAUGUAGUAUUUUGAAAUUGGAAUUUUAACCUGUGUUCUCAAAAACAUUAAAGCACUGGUACGAGCUAAACAUUUUGCCUUGAGCACAGAUAGGGUUAAACUAUGACACAGAUCUGCAUCACAAUAUCUACAUGUUCAUCUCUGCCUGGGUUCAUCAAAGGCGUUCAGGCAAGUGGAAACAUCAAGAGUAACCAUCUAUCCAGCCAACAUUGUUCACAUGUAAUAACCGUGUCUAUCUUGCCUGUUAGUCCCGGAGGCCUAAUUUACAUUUGAAGGGCUGCGUUACCUGAGAUGACCCGAGAAAAUGAACUUGUUCAGAGACCUGAUAAAGCUCACCUGAUCAGUGAAGCGUGGAGAUAACGACUCUCCCCCAACAGGACAACCCCACUGCCAAGUUUGUAAGUGAAUGAUACUACACUAUUUUUUGCAAUAUGUCAGCAACAUCAUGAUUGUGAGGGGGACCCCAGGAAUGAACUUCACACACAGUACCCAUGUGGGACAAGUCCUUC